GCCCUGGUGGCUCAGCUGGUAGAGCGUUGCCUUGGUAAGGCAGAGGUCGCGAGUUCAAAUCUCGCCCAGGGCUCCA
rnacentral:tRNA from 1 species